rnacentral:rRNA from 1 species
AUUGAACGCUGGCGGCAUGCCUUACACAUGCAAGUCGAACGGUAACAGGUCUUCGGAUGCUGACGAGUGGCGAACGGGUGAGUAAUACAUCGGAACGUGCCUAGUAGUGGGGGAUAACUACUCGAAAGAGUGACUAAUACCGCAUGAGAUCUACGGAUGAAAGCAGGGGAUCGCAAGACCUUGUGCUACUGGAGCGGCCGAUGGCAGAUUAGGUAGUUGGUGGGAUAAAAGCUUACCAAGCCGACGAUCUGUAGCUGGUCUGAGAGGACGAUCAGCCACACUGGGACUGAGACACGGCCCAGACUCCUACGGGAGGCAGCAGUGGGGAAUUUUGGACAAUGGGCGCAAGCCUGAUCCAGCAAUGCCGCGUGCAGGAUGAAGGCCUUCGGGUUGUAAACUGCUUUUGUACGGAACGAAAAGCCCUGGGUUAAUACCCUGGGGUCAUGACGGUACCGUAAGAAUAAGCACCGGCUAACUACGUGCCAGCCGCCGCGGUAAAAC